AUACGGAGGGUGCGAGCGUUAAUCGGAAUUACUGGGCGUAAAGCGUGCGUAGGCGGUUUGUUAAGUCAGAAGUGAAAGCCCUGGGCUCAACCUGGGAACGGCUUUUGAGACUGGCAGACUCGAGUUGAGUAGAGGGGAGUGGAAUUUCCGGUGUAGCGGUGAAGUGCGUAGAGAUCGGAAGGAACACCAGUGGCGAAGGCGACUCCCUGGACUCAAACUGACGCUGAGGUACGAAAGCGUGGGUAGCAAACAGGAUUAGAAACCCCAGUAGUCC
rnacentral:rRNA from 1 species